rnacentral:rRNA from 1 species
GACGAACGCUGGCGGCGUGCUUAACACAUGCAAGUCGAACGAGAAGAGAUGAGAAGCUUGCUUCUUAUUGAUUCGAGUGGCAAACGGGUGAGUAACGCGUAAGCAACCUGCCCUUCAGAUGGGGACAACAGCUGGAAACGGCUGCUAAUACCGAAUACGUUCUUUUUGUCGCAUGGCAGAAAGAAGAAAGGGAGGCUCUUCGGAGCUUUCGCUGAAGGAGGGGCUUGCGUCUGAUUAGCUAGUUGGUGAGGUAACGGCUCACCAAGUCGACGAUCGGUAGCCGGACUGAGAGGUUGAACGGCCACAUUGGGACUGAGACACGGCCCAGACUCCUACGGGAGGCAGCAGUGGGGAAUAUUGCACAAUGGGCGAAAGCCUGAUGCAGCAACGCCGCGUGAGGGAAGACGGUUUUCGGAUUGUAAACCUCUGUUUUCGGUGACGAACAAAUGACGGUAACCGAGUAGGAAGCCACGGCUAACUACGUG